UUUGGCUGUGAUGACAAACUUGCCCUCACUUAGAGUACCUCUUUGAUGAGAAUUUAUAGUACUCGUCUGAGCCAAG